GUUUGCGAUUCCUCCCAGGUGAGGUGGUGGGGCUAGGCUUCCCCCUUCCAGCCAGCCGGGUGUCUGCUUCACCCGAUUCAGAUCUGAAGACCAGAUUCUCCACUGGCCCCCGGAGCAUGCUCACCCUCCUGCCCAAUGAUCCUCUUGCAGCACACUGGACUUCCUCCCCCUGAGCAGCUCUCACCCCCUCUUCCUAUGUCAGUGGUCACCAGGUCAAGAACCAACUUUCUGCUGUCCCCGCAGAGACCUCUGGGGCUGGAGGCCACUUUGCCCUUGGCCAGGGCACAGGAGCUCACUAGAGCUGGGGCCUCGGAGCAGGAUUUUGCACUGGAGGAGCUAUGUAGGCCCUUGUACUGUAAACUUUGUAAUGUCACCUUGAAUUCAGCCCAGCAGGCUCAAGCUCAUUAUCAGGGUAAAAAUCAUAGUAAGAAACUCCGGAAUUACUAUGCGGCAAGUAGCUGUCCACCCUCUACCAGAAUGAGCCAUGUAGUGGAGCCCGUCCCCCCUCCUGUCGUGCCAGCUUCCCCCCAGGUGGACAUCUCCAAGCCUGGCAGCAGAGUGAUCAGGGCCACAGAGAAUGAUUACUGUAAGCUCUGUGAUGCUUCCUUUAGUUCCCUUGCUGUGGCCCAGGCUCACUACAAAGGGAAGAAUCACGCUAAGAGGACAAGACUGGUGGAGGCCCAGAACAACCUGUCCUUGGAUUCAUCAGAGGCAAGUCAACGGAGGACCCGGAAAGAAGGGAAUGAAUAUAAAAUGAUGCAGAAUAGGAGGAAUGCAUAUGCUCUUCAAAAUAAUACAGGGCCUUACUUCAAUCCUCGAUCUCGACAGUGGAUUCCCCGUGACCUUGCCAUGUGUGUCACCCCCAGCGGCCAGUUUUACUGCUCCAUGUGUAAUGCCGGGGCUGGUGAAGAGAUGGAAUUUAGGCAGCAUUUAGAAAGUAAACAGCACAAGAGCAAGGUGUCUGAGCAGCGGUACAGGAAUGAGAUGGAGAAUCUGGGAUACUUAUAG
ensembl:lncRNA